CCGGCCGUAAACUCUGGGUACUAGGUGUAGGGGGCUUCGAUGCCUUCUGUGCCGUAGUUAACGCAUUAAGUACCCCGCCUGGGGAGUACGAUCGCAAGGUUGAAACUCAAAGGAAUUGACGGGGGCCCGCACAAGCGGUGGAGCAUGUGGUUUAAUUCGAUGCAACGCGAAGAACCUUACCAGGGCUUGACAUCUGCCUGACGGUCCUUGGAAACUUGGGCUUUCUUUCGGGACAGGUAGACAGGUGG
rnacentral:rRNA from 1 species